ACGAACGCUGGCGGCGUGCUUAACACAUGCAAGUCGAACGGAAAGGCCUGCUUUCCCUUGUGGAUUGCGGGUACUCGAGUGGCGAACGGGUGAGUAACACGUGAGUGAUCUGCCCCCAACUUGGGUAUAAGCCUGGGAAACUGGGUCUAAUUCCCGAUAGGACUGCAGGGUGGUGCCUGUGGUGGAAAACGAUUUUCUAGUGGUUGGGGAUGAGCUCGCGGCCUAUCAGCUUGUUGGUGGGGUAAUGGCCUACCAAGGCGGCGACGGGUAGCCGGCCUGAGAGGGUGGACGGCCACAUUGGGACUGGGAUACGGCCCAGACUCCUACGGGAGGCAGCAGUGGGGAAUAAUGCACAAUGGGCGGAAGCCUGAUGCAGCGACGCCGCGUGGGGGAUGACGGCCUUCGGGUUGUAAACUCCUUUCGGCCGCGAGGAAGCCACCUGGUUGGAAGGGUGGUGACGGUAGUGGUAGAAGAAGCACCGGCUAACUACGUG
rnacentral:rRNA from 1 species